GACCCCAGAGGGCAGGGCGAUCCCCGGAGUGGCUGCGAUUCUGGAAGCCUCGGGCAGCGCUAAGCCCCGGGGAAUGGAAGCGAGGAGCGGUACUUACUUUCUGAGGAUGAAGAGACUGUGGUAUAAGAAGCAGAGCUGGAUUUUGUGAACAGAAUCCAUUUCCAUGUUCUUACCCAUCAUGUAUUUCUAAGAAGCACUGGUUCCAGAACCUGUCUGAUAAACAAGGAUUCUGUGAUGAAGUUAAGUUUAGGAGAUACUGGGUACUAUUGCCCUCUCACUGGCUCAUAUUUCCCACCAUGUUAAAGGCUGACUCUCAUGGAAAACAAACCUGUUUAACUCUUUUAACCCAGCA